GCGACCCCAUGUCAGGCGGGGCUACCCACCGAGUUU
rnacentral:rRNA from 1 species